rfam:Mus musculus chromosome 13, GRC primary reference assembly.
UUCUAUAUGAUGUAUUUCCUGUACCUGAAGAACAAUGAAACAAUGCAGAGCUUUUUAUAACUGAUUGCAU